CAACCUCAACUCAUAUGGGACUACCCCCUGAAUUUAAGCAUAUUAAUUAGGGGAGGAAAAGAAACUAACAAGGAUUUUCUUAGUAGCGGCGAGCGAAAAGAAAUCAGUUCAGCACUAAGUCACUUUGUCUAUAUGGCAAAUGUGAGAUGCAGUGUAUGGAGCGUCAAUAUUCUAGUAUGAGAAAUUAACGAUUUAAGUCCUUCUUAAAUGAGGCCAUUUACCCAUAGAGGGUGCCAGGCCCGUAUAACGUUAAUGAUUACUAGAUGAUGUUUCCAAAGAGUCGUGUUGCUUGAUAGUGCAGCACUAAGUGGGUGGUAAACUCCAUCUAAAACUAAAUAUAACCAUGAGACCGAUAGUAAACAAGUACCGUGAGGGAAAGUUGAAAAGAACUCUGAAUAGAGAGUUAAACAGUACGUGAAACUGCUUAGAGGUUAAGCCCGAUGAACCUGAAUAUCCGUUAUGGAAAAUUCAUCAUUAGAAUUGUAAUAUUUAAACAAUAUUAUGAUAAUAGUGUGCAUUUUUUCCAUAUAAGGACAUUGUAAUCUAUUAGCAUACCAAAUUUAUCAUAAAAUAUAACUUAUAGUUUAUUCAAAUUAAUUUGCUUGCAUUUUAACACAGAAUAAAUGUUAUUAAUUUGAUAAAGUGCUGAUAGAUUUAUAUGAAUACAGUGCGUUAAUUUUUCGGAAUUAUAUAAUGGCAUAAUUAUCAUUGAUUUUUGUGUUUAUUAUAUGCACUUGUAGGAUUAACAAUGCGAAAGAUUCAGGAUACCUUCGGGACCCGUCUUGAAACACGGACCAAGGAGUCUAACAUAUGUGCAAGUUAUUGGGAUAUAAACCUAAUAGCGUAAUUAACUUGACUAAUAAUGGGAUUAGUUUUUUAACUAUUUAUAGCUAAUUAACACAAUCCCGGGGCGUUCUAUAUAGUUAUGUAUAAUGAUAUUUAUAUUAUUUAUGCCUCUAACUGGAACGUACCUUGAGCAUAUAUGCUGUGACCCGAAAGAUGGUGAACUAUACUUGAUCAGGUUGAAGUCAGGGGAAACCCUGAUGGAAGACCGAAACAGUUCUGACGUGCAAAUCGAUUGUCAGAAUUGAGUAUAGGGGCGAAAGACCAAUCGAACCAUCUAGUAGCUGGUUCCUUCCGAAGUUUCCCUCAGGAUAGCUGGUGCAUUUUAAUAUUAUAUAAAAUAAUCUUAUCUGGUAAAGCGAAUGAUUAGAGGCCUUAGGGUCGAAACGAUCUUAACCUAUUCUCAAACUUUAAAUGGGUAAGAACCUUAACUUUCUUGAUAUGAAGUUCAAGGUUAUGAUAUAAUGUGCCCAGUGGGCCACUUUUGGUAAGCAGAACUGGCGCUGUGGGAUGAACCAAACGUAAUGUUACGGUGCCCAAAUUAACAACUCAUGCAGAUACCAUGAAAGGCGUUGGUUGCUUAAAACAGCAGGACGGUGAUCAUGGAAGUCGAAAUCCGCUAAGGAGUGUGUAACAACUCACCUGCCGAAGCAACUAGCCCUUAAAAUGGAUGGCGCUUAAGUUGUAUACCUAUACAUUACCGCUAAAGUAGAUGAUUUAUAUUACUUGUAAUAUAAAUUUUGAAACUUUAGUGAGUAGGAAGGUACAAUGGUAUGCGUAGAAGUGUUUGGCGUAAGCCUGCAUGGAGCUGCCAUUGGUACAGAUCUUGGUGGUAGUAGCAAAUAAUCGAAUGAGACCUUGGAGGACUGAAGUGGAGAAGGGUUUCGUGUGAACAGUGGUUGAUCACGAGUUAGUCGGUCCUAAGUUCAAGGCGAAAGCCGAAAAUUUUCAAGUAAAAUACAAAUGCCAAACAAAUAUAUAUAUUAUAUAAAAUCUAGCUAAAUUAAUAUACUUGAAUAAUUUUGAACGAAAGGGAAUACGGUUCCAAUUCCGUAACCUGUUGAGUAUCCGUUUGUUAUUAAAUAUGGGCCUCGUGCUCAUCCUGGCAACAGGAACGACCAUAAAGAAGCCGUCGAGAGAUAUCGGAAGAGUUUUCUUUUCUGUUUUAUAGCCGAACUACCAUGGAAGUCUUUCGCAGAGAGAUAUGGUAGAUGGGCUAGAAGAGCAUGACAUAUACUGUUGUGUCGAUAUUUUCUCCUCGGACCUUGAAAAUUUAUGGUGGGGACACGCAAACUUCUCAACAGGCCGUACCAAUAUCCGCAGCUGGUCUCCAAGGUGAAGAGUCUCUAGUCGAUAGAAUAAUGUAGGUAAGGGAAGUCGGCAAAUUAGAUCCGUAACUUCGGGAUAAGGAUUGGCUCUGAAGAUUGAGAUAGUCGGGCUUGAUUGGGAAACAAUAACAUGGUUUAUGUGCUCGUUCUGGGUAAAUAGAGUUUCUAGCAUUUAUGUUAGUUACUUGUUCCCCGGAUAGUUUAGUUACGUAGCCAAUUGUGGAACUUUCUUGCUAAAAUUUUUAAGAAUACUAAUUGGGUUAAACCAAUUAGUUCUUAUUAAUUAUAACGAUUAUCAAUUAACAAUCAAUUCAGAACUGGCACGGACUUGGGGAAUCCGACUGUCUAAUUAAAACAAAGCAUUGUGAUGGCCCUAGCGGGUGUUGACACAAUGUGAUUUCUGCCCAGUGCUCUGAAUGUCAAAGUGAAGAAAUUCAAGUAAGCGCGGGUCAACGGCGGGAGUAACUAUGACUCUCUUAAGGUAGCCAAAUGCCUCGUCAUCUAAUUAGUGACGCGCAUGAAUGGAUUAACGAGAUUCCUACUGUCCCUAUCUACUAUCUAGCGAAACCACAGCCAAGGGAACGGGCUUGGAAUAAUUAGCGGGGAAAGAAGACCCUUUUGAGCUUGACUCUAAUCUGGCAGUGUAAGGAGACAUAAGAGGUGUAGAAUAAGUGGGAGAUAUUAGACCUCGGUUUGGUAUCGCCAAUGAAAUACCACUACUCUUAUUGUUUCCUUACUUACUUGAUUAAAUGGAACGUGUAUCAUUUCCUAGCCAUUAUACGGAUAUAUUUAUUAUAUCUUAUGGUAUUGGGUUUUGAUGCAAGCUUCUUGAUCAAAGUAUCACGAGUUUGUUAUAUAAUCGCAAACAAAUUCUUUAAUAAAACGGUGCAUUUAUGUAUUUUUGAUUUGAAAAUUUGGUAUAACUCCAAUUACUCAGGUAUGAUCCAAUUCAAGGACAUUGCCAGGUAGGGAGUUUGACUGGGGCGGUACAUCUCUCAAAUAAUAACGGAGGUGUCCCAAGGCCAGCUCAGUGCGGACAGAAACCACACAUAGAGCAAAAGGGCAAAUGCUGACUUGAUCUCGGUGUUCAGUACACACAGGGACAGCAAAAGCUCGGCCUAUCGAUCCUUUUGGUUUAAAGAGUUUUUAACAAGAGGUGUCAGAAAAGUUACCAUAGGGAUAACUGGCUUGUGGCGGCCAAGCGUUCAUAGCGACGUCGCUUUUUGAUCCUUCGAUGUCGGCUCUUCCUAUCAUUGUGAAGCAAAAUUCACCAAGCGUUGGAUUGUUCACCCAUGCAAGGGAACGUGAGCUGGGUUUAGACCGUCGUGAGACAGGUUAGUUUUACCCUACUAAUGACAAAACGUUGUUGCGACAGCAUUCCUGCGUAGUACGAGAGGAACCGCAGGUACGGACCAAUGGCACAAUACUUGUUCGAGCGAACAGUGGUAUGACGCUACGUCCGUUGGAUUAUGCCUGAACGCCUCUAAGGUCGUAUCCGUGCUGGACUGCAAUGAUAAAUAAGGGGCAAUUUGCAUUGUAUGGCUUCUAAACCAUUUAAAGUUUAUAAUUUACUUUUUAAACGACAAUGGAUGUGAUGCCAAUGUAAUUUGUAACAUAGUAAAUUGGGAGGAUCUUUGAUCACCUGAUGCCGCGCUAGUUACAUAUAAAAGCAUUAUUUAAUACAAUGACAAAGCCUAGAAUCAAUUGUAAACGACUUUUGUAACAGGCAAGGUGUUGUAAGUGGUUGAGCAGCUGCCAUACUGCGAUCCACUGAAGCUUAUCCUUUGCUUGAUGAUUCGA